rnacentral:rRNA from 1 species
GACGAACGCUGGCGGCGUGCUUAACACAUGCAAGUCGAGCGGAAAGGCUCCUUCGGGGGUACUCGAGCGGCGAACGGGUGAGUAACACGUGAGUAAUCUGCCCUGGACUCUGGGAUAGCCACCGGAAACGGUGAUUAAUACCGGAUAUGACCAGCUUCCGCAUGGUGGUUGGUGGAAAGUUUUUUCGGUCCAGGAUGUGCUCGCGGCCUAUCAGCUUGUUGGUGAGGUAAUGGCUCACCAAGGCUUUGACGGGUAGCCGGCCUGAGAGGGUGAACGGUCACACUGGGACAGAGACACGGCCCAGACUCAUACGGGAGGCAGCAGUGGGGAAUAUUGGACAAUGGGCGGAAGCCUGAUCCAGCAGCGCCGCGUGAGGGAUGACGGCCUUCGGGUUGUAAACCUCUUUCAGUACCGACGAAGCGAAAGUGACGGUAGGUACAGAAGAAGGACCGGCCAACUACGUGCCAGCCGCCGCAGUAACAC